AUUGAACGCUGGCGGCAGGCCUAACACAUGCAAGUCGAGCGGCGCGGCGGUCGGGUGAGUAAUGCCCAGGAAUCUGCCUGGUAGUGGGGGAUAACGUCCGGAACCGGGCGCUAAUACCGCAUACUCUCAGAUGAGCCUAGGUCGGAUUAGCUAGGUGGUGGGGUAAAGGCCCACCAAGGCUACGAUCCGUAACUGGUCUGAGAGGAUGAUCAGUCACACUGGAACUGAGACACGGUCCAGACGCCUACGGGAGGCAGCAGUGGGGAAUAGUGGACAAUGGGCGAAAGCCUGAUCCAGCCAUGCCGCGUGUGUGAAGAAGGUCUUCGGAUUGUAAAGCACUUUAAGUUGGGAGGCGUUACCGACAGAAUAAGCACCGGCUAACUCCGUGCCAGCAGCCGCGGUAAUUC
rnacentral:rRNA from 1 species